rnacentral:rRNA from 1 species
UAGGGAAUCUUCCACAAUGGACGAAAGUCUGAUGGAGCAACGCCGCGUGAGUGAAGAAGGGUUUCGGCUCGUAAAACUCUGUUGUUAAAGAAGAACAUAUCUGAGAGUAACUGUUCAGGUAUUGACGGUAUUUAACCAGAAAGCCACGGCUAACUACGUGCCAGCAGCCGCGGUAAUACGUAGGUGGCAAGCGUUGUCCGGAUUUAUUGGGCGUAAAGCGAGCGCAGGCGGUUUUUUAAGUCUGAUGUGAAAGCCUUCGGCUCAACCGAAGAAGUGCAUCGGAAACUGGGAAACUUGAGUGCAGAAGAGGACAGUGGAACUCCAUGUGUAGCGGUGAAAUGCGUAGAUAUAUGGAAGAACACCAGUGGCGAAGGCGGCUGUCUGGUCUGUAACUGACGCU